GAGUAGCGAAAGACGGGUGAGAAACCCGUCCUCCGGAAGACCAAGGGUUCCAGGGCCAGGCUAAUCCGCCCUGGGUAAGUCGGGACCUAAGGCGAGGCCGACAGGCGUAGUCGAUGGACAACGGGUUGAUAUUCCCGUACUGACGAAGAACCGCCCAAGCUAAUCCAGUAAUGCUAAGAGUCCGAAUACCGGUGACCGAUCCCUUCGGGGAGGAGCUCCGGGGCUAGCACUCGACCCUAUGCUGGUGCGGCUAGCGUAUUAACAGGUGUGACGCAAGAAGGUAGCUGAGCCGGGCGAUGGUUGUCCCGGUGUAAGGAUGUAGGGCGAACGAUAGGCAAAUCCGUCGUUCACAUAGCCUGAGAUCCGAUGCGUACCCCUCACGGGGGAAAUCAGUGAUCCUAUGUUGCCGAGAAAAGCAUCGACGCGAGGUUCAAGUUACCCGUACCCCAAACCGACUCAGGUGGUCAGGUAGAGAAUACCAAGGAGAUCGAGAGAAUCGUGGUUAAGGAACUCGGCAAAAUGCCCCCGUAACUUCGGGAGAAGGGGGGCCGGAUUCGUGAAGGGAUUUACUCCUGGAGCGUUGAAGGCCGCAGAGACCAGUGGGAAGCGACUGUUUACUAAAAACACAGGGCUCUGCGAAGUCGCAAGACGACGUAUAGGGUCUGACGCCUGCCCGGUGCCGGAAGGUUAAAAGGAGGGGUGCAAGCUCCGAAUUGAAGCCCCGGUAAACGGCGGCCGUAACGAUAACGGUCCUAAGGUAGCGAAAUUCCUUGUCGGGU
rnacentral:rRNA from 1 species